rnacentral:tRNA from 1 species
GAUCUAGCGGUUAGGAUUCCUGGUUUUCAGCCAGGAAGUCCGGGUCCGACUCCCGG